rnacentral:rRNA from 1 species
UACGAAGGGGGCUAGCGUUGCUCGGAAUCACUGGGCGUAAAGCGCACGUAGGCGGAUUGUUAAGUCAGGGGUGAAAUCCUGGAGCUCAACUCCAGAACUGCCUUUGAUACUGGCGAUCUUGAGUCCGGGAGAGGUGAGUGGAACUGCGAGUGUAGAGGUGAAAUUCGUAGAUAUUCGCAAGAACACCAGUGGCGAAGGCGGACUCACUGGCCCGGUACUGACGCUGAGGCACGAAAGCGUGGG